GGGUAUUACCCGAACAAGACGGUACCUUCAGAGAAAGCCCCGGCUAUAUACGUGCCAGCAGCCGCGGUAAUACGUAGGGGGCAAGCGUUGUCCGGAUUUACUGGGUGUAAAGGGCGUGUAGGCGGAUGAUUAAGUCAGGGGUGAAAUCUUACAGCUCAACUGUGAAAUUGCCCUUGAUACUGGUCGUCUUGAGUACGAGAGAGGAAGAUGGAAUUCCUGGUGUAGCGGUGAAAUGUGUAGAUAUCUGGAAGAACACCGGUGGAGAAGGGGGUGUUUUGGCUCGUAAAAGACGCUGAGGCGCGAAAGCAUGGGGAUCAAACAGGAUUAGAUACCCCGGUAGUCCAUGCUGUAAACGAUGAGUGCUAGUUGUGGGUUCCGUACGGAAUCAGUGACGCAGCUAACGCAAUAAGCA
rnacentral:rRNA from 1 species